AUAGGUGUUCAUUAUCCGGUCUGGAUAUUCCUCGCGGAUCUUGGAAAUCAGAAGGGUUCCCAUCCCGGAACCGGUGCCUCCCCCGAGGGAGUGGGUCAGCUGGAAACCCUGGAGACAAUCGCAGUUCUCGCACUCUUUUCGAACGACGUCCAAGACCGCGUCCACCAGUUCCGCACCCUCCGUGUAAUGACCUUUUGCCCAGUUGUUACCGGCUCCGCUCUGACCGAACACGAAGUUGUCGGGACGGAAAAGUUUUCCGUAUGUACCGGAACGAACGGCAUCCAUAGUUCCGGGCUCCAAAUCAACUAGGAUGGCACGAGGAACGUAUUUUCCACCGGACGCCUCAUUGUAGUAAACGUUGAUCCUCUCCAACUGGAGAUCGGAGUCUCCGUGGUAGGCGCCGGUCGGGUCAAUUCCAUGCUCGUCACUGAUUAUUUCCCAAAACUGAAAAUUAGAAAAGAAGAUCGUCAGACAGGGUCUUUAUGAGAAAUAAAUCGGCAAAUUAGAUUAUUCAAUUAUUACAUAAACAAAUAUUUUCAAUGGAAGAACAUCCAGAGCACAGAGGCAGCCGCUUUUUUCUCGGUCUAUUAUAACGCUUGCAAUCUAACGAAUGCAAUUAUCUGCUAAAAUAUAUUUUCAUAUAAAUGUAAAUAACGACGCGAUCCGAGCCGCUCAUUUGCGGACGGU
rnacentral:misc_RNA from 1 species